UGGGGAAUCUUGCACAAUGGGGGAAACCCUGAUGCAGCGACGCCGCGUGAACGAUGAAGCCCUUCGGGGUGUAAAGUUCUUUCGACAGGAACGAUAAUGACGGUACCUGGAGAAGAAGCUGCGGCUAACUACGUGCCAGCAGCCGCGGUAAUACGUAGGCAGCAAACGUUGUUCGGAAUUAUUGGGCGUAAAGAGUGUGUAGGCGGUUUUGUAAGUUUGGUGUGAAAUCUCCCGGCUUAACUGGGAGGGUGCGCCGAAUACUGCAAGACUUGAGUACUGGAGAGGAUAGCGGAAUUCCUGGUGUAGCGGUGAAAUGCGUAGAUAUCAGGAGGAACACCGGCGGUGUAGACGGCUAUCUGGACAGUCACUGACGCUGAGACACGAAAGCGUGGGUAGCAAACAGG
rnacentral:rRNA from 1 species